CACAUGAACAAAGGUGGUGGAUUUUACAUUUACGUUUUUUUCCUGGCCAUUCGUUUCAAAGUGCUAGAGACAAGCAUCACAUUUAUUGACAUUUGCUCAGAAAUAUACAUAACUGCAAUCUAAUUCGCUGACUGCAGAAGGCACGUGACUAAUGGAAGCACGCCUAGCCUUCAGUCCGUAUUAAGGAACUGGGCACACUCAUGCAAACGAGCGCACACGUACAUACAGUUAUAACGAUUGAACAGUUUUACGAACUGGUGAACUGGCGCCUGAUCUUGUUGUGAUUUUAAAAUCAUUGUAGGAUUACAUAUUGAUUCUCUUAAUUGAAAAUAAUUUACUGGUAUCAUUCGUAAGCCAUGUACCUUAGGUAUCAAUCAUAAUUUUUUUUAAUUGUUCCAAACAACUAGCUCGGAUGAAUCUGAUUUCAUUAAAACCCUUUCGGCUACUCAAACUAUCUACACGAUUAAUUAAACUUUGGGGAUAAGGGUGUGUUUUUUCAACGUAAAGUUAGUCUAAUCUCUGGUAAGAUCAUUCUUUAAAGUCGAUUAGCUAUCACAUGGUAUUUUUUUCUUAAUUGACAUUGUAGAAUUGCAUUUAUUAAUUUUAGGUGUUUAUAACGAUGCAAUCGUAAACUAACGAGUGACGAACUAUUUCACCCGAAUAAAUGUACAUUUCUU